rnacentral:misc_RNA from 1 species
UGAAAUUCAGCUUGCAGUUGUUCAGU